rnacentral:rRNA from 1 species
UACACGACUCUCGGCAACGGAUAUCUCGGCUCUCGCAUCGAUGAAGAACGUAGCGAAAUGCGAUACCUGGUGUGAAUUGCAGAAUCCCGCGAACCAUCGAGUCUUUGAACGCAAGUUGCGCCCGAGGCCACUUGGCCGAGGGCACGCCUGCCUGGGCGUCACGC